GGUUUUGACGUUGUGAUUGGUAUAUCCGGAUUGCGAGUCCGAGAGCUGUUCUCGGUUAUCAACGGGCAAACUAAAUUAAAUGACAACAAAGUUGUUGACAUGAACGCUUACAGAAUGGCAAAAGCUGCCUAGUCACUAAGUGACUGCGUUCCAUUCACCCUGACCAGCUUGCCGUUAGGAAUUGAAUGACCGUAUGCAAGAUGCAGUACGCAAACGAUGGUAUGCGUAUCAAGACUAACCAUUGGAGGUUAGACUUCCGUAAAAAGUCUUUGACUUAGCCCAGGUUUUGCAACUUUCCUUGUUAAGUCGAGAUAAUAAGUUACUACACUCGUAGACGUCAGUUUGUAUCCGCAUCGGACGCGGGUUCGACUCCCGCCAUCUCCA
rnacentral:tmRNA from 1 species